rnacentral:rRNA from 1 species
AUUGAACGCUGGCGGCAUGCCUUACACAUGCAAGUCGAACGGCAGCAUAGGAGCUUGCUCCUGAUGGCGAGUGGCGAACGGGUGAGUAAUAUAUCGGAACGUGCCCUAGAGUGGGGGAUAACUAGUCGAAAGACUAGCUAAUACCGCAUACGAUCUACGGAUGAAAGUGGGGGAUCGCAAGACCUCAUGCUCCUGGAGCGGCCGAUAUCUGAUUAGCUAGUUGGUGGGGUAAAAGCCUACCAAGGCGACGAUCAGUAGCUGGUCUGAGAGGACGACCAGCCACACUGGGACUGAGACACGGCCCAGACUCCUACGGGAGGCAGCAGUGGGGAAUUUUGGACAAUGGGGGCAACCCUGAUCCAGCAAUGCCGCGUGAGUGAAGAAGGCCUUCGGGUUGUAAAGCUCUUUUGUCAGGGAAGAAACGGUAGUAGCUAAUAUCUACUACUAAUGACGGUACCUGAAGAAUAAGCACCGGCUAACUACGUGCCAGCAGCCGCCGUAA